ACCUAACACAUGCAAGUCGAACGCCCUCUUCGGAGGGAGUGGCAGACGGGUGAGUAACGCGUGGGAACCUACCUAUCAGUACGGAACAACUCAGGGAAACUUGUGCUAAUACCGUAUACGUCCUUCGGGAGAAAGAUUUAUCGCUGAUAGAUGGGCCCGCGUUAGAUUAGCUAGUUGGUGAGGUAAUGGCUCACCAAGGCGACGAUCUAUAGCUGGUCUGAGAGGAUGAUCAGCCACACUGGAACUGAGACACGGUCCAGACUCCUACGGGAGGCAGCAGUGGGGAAUAUUGGACAAUGGGCGCAAGCCUGAUCCAGCCAUGCCGCGUGAGUGAUGAAGGCCCUAGGGUUGUAAAGCUCUUUCAACGGUGAAGAUAAUGACGGUAGCCGUAGAAGAAGCCCCGGCUAACUUCGUGCCAGCAGCCGCGGUAAUACGAAGGGGGCGAGCGUUGUUCGGAAUCACUGGGCGUAAAGCGUACGUAGGCGGAUAGAUUAGUUAGGGGUGAAAUCCCGAGGCUCAACCUCGGAACUGCCUCUAAUACUGUCUAUCUAGAGAUCGAGAGAGGUGAGUGGAAUUCCUAGUGUAGAGGUGAAAUUCGUA
rnacentral:rRNA from 1 species